rnacentral:snRNA from 1 species
AAAACUUUUUCGAAAGAAAAAUCUGUUCUUAUCAGUUUUAAUAUCUGAUACGUCCCCCAUCCGGGGACUACAUAUUAAAUGGAUUUUAGAUCACGGAGCUGAAGCCGGGGCUUGCUCCGUCCACUCCAUGCAUCGGCCUGGUAUUGCAGUGUCUCCAGGAACGGUGUGCUUUCC